UACGUAGGGGGCGAGCGUUAUCCGGAAUUACUGGGUGUAAAGGGAGCGUAGACGGAGUGGUAAGCCUGGAGUGGAAGGCCGCGGCCCAACCGCGGGAGUGCUCUGGGAACUGCCAUGCUGGAGUAUGGGAGGGGUAAGCGGAAUUCCUGGUGUAGCGGUGAAAUGCGUAGAUAUCAGGAGGAACACCGGUGGCGAAGGCGGCUUACUGGACCAUGACUGACGUUGAGGCUCGAAAGCGUGGGGAGCGA
rnacentral:rRNA from 1 species